CUGGGCAACUACUACCUGACUCGGUUGUCGCAAGGCCUAAAGAGAAUAUAUGCAAAGCCUCUGGUACACCGUAAGCAAGAACGGGGAGCGGGAGCGGAAUGCUUGUCGAGUGUAAGCAGAGGAGUCCCGACCUAAGGUGACGGAGGUGACGAGGCCAGGUCUCCAAACUCCGCGGCCGGCCCCCAGCCCUCUUCCGGGUGGACUGUGUGGACCCGUCCUCUCGCCGCCCUGGCCCAGCGCCCCGCCCGCCUUCCCUAGCGCGGCUCCGCCCCGGCCGCCAGCGGGCGCAGAGGCGUCUGGAACCCGGACCCACCCGGGACACUACUCUGGCCCCGCGGAGCCGGCGGAGCAGGUAACUCCAUGCAUUGGAGACCAUGAAUAAAUAUGACAUGAUUAAAGCCAUUGGGGAAGGUGCCUUUGGGAAAGCAUACCUGGCCAAAGGGAAAUCAGAUAGCAAGCACUGUGUUAUAAAAGAGAUCAAUUUUGAAAAGAUGCCCAUCCAAGAAAAAGAAGCUUCAAAGAAAGAAGUCAUUCUUCUGGCCAAGAUGAAACAUCCCAACAUUGUAACCUUCUUCAGUUCAUUUUCAAGAUGCUGCCGCUUCAGAGGACAGGAGACAGCGGGAUGCUGGGUCUCCUCAGACUCUGCUACAAAUGAUGGCCGCGGCCGACGUCACCUCCACCUGCUCCACUGUGCCUGAGGGUGAAGCUGACAUCAGUGGCACAAAUUGUCAGCAAGGGGAGAGCGAGGCCCCAAAGGCAGCUGUGUUCACCCUGACUUGACAGCUCUCAGUUUUCAGUAUAAAUCCUGAUAGAUUUGUAUUCAAUACCCUUCAAAGAUUUUGUUUUGGUUUCUCCCCUACCUCUGCAGAGACUUGCCUACUAAUUAUUCUAGACAAUUGGCCACUGUAGCUAUGAGAAUGUAAAGGAAGAACGAUCCAGGUUCCCGCCUUCCUCCCAAGGAGGGACAGGUGGCUUCAUUUGCCGUCCCGUGCCAGCCGAAUAACUCCCUUGCAGUUUCUUAGAGGGUCGUUUUGUCCUCAGUAACAUCAGAACUGAAAUAUUAGCUGUCCCACAAGAUUUAGAGAGUCAGUGCGAAGAUACAUAUUAAAUUGCUUUGCAAACCAAAGUGCUAGUCCCAUGUUAGCAGUGUUUAGGAUAUGAUGGUAUUUUCAACCUAAAUUCUUCCAUUUUCAUUUGGGCUUCUGGCAUAGUCUUUCCUUAGCAGAGAGUCCCAGCAAUAUCUGGGUGUGAUCUUACAGGUGGUGGAGAUUUUUUUUUUUUUUUUUUUUGUGGUACGCGGGCCUCCCUCUGUUGUGGCCUCUCCCGUCGCGAAGCACAGGCUCCGGACGCGCAGGCUCAGCGGCCAUGGCUCACGGGCCCAGCCGCUCCGCGGCAUGUGGGAUCCUCCCAGACCGGGGCGCGAACCCGGUUCCCCUGCAUCGGCAGGCGGACGCGCAACCACUGCGCCACCAGGGAAGCCCCCCGGUGGUGGAGAUUUUUAUUGCUCAUUUCCUAUGUUCUUCUUGAUAACAUGGGGCUGGGGGAGAGCUAAAAUUUAUACCCAUCUUAUAAGUUGAAGUCUGUAAGUAUAUCACUGAGAUUAGUAAUUAAAAGUGUGUGAAUUGAACCAUAUUUAUACUAUCACAAAAUAUACUGCGUAUCAUCAAAUUUACAAGAAAGGGCUUGCAAACAUAAUACAAUUUAAUCCAUCCUAAGCCAAUGAGACAGUAAGAGGGGAAACCUAAUUUAAAAUAAAUAGAAUAGAAAUGUCAACACACCAAAACAGCCAGUUUACGGGGCAAAAAAUGACUCUCCUGCCCAACAGUACAUGAUAAUAUUGUCACUAAACUUUUCUGUAUCUCAGCUUCCUUGCUAAUAAAAUGAGGGGUGGGAUUAGGUGACCUCCAAGGAUCUCACAUUCUGUGAUUUUAUAAAAACUCAAGUGAGGAAGCAUUUUUAGUUUCAAUAAUCCAGGCUCCUUUUCAGACGGCCGAGUGAUUGUGAUUGAAGGCAUUCCAGAGAACAGGAAACAGUGGCGGCUUGAAACACCGGGAACUUUAAUGAGUGUUUUGACAGCAGCACAUCUAACAAGUAGCUCAUUUUCUGCCAACGAUGGAGAAUUUGUGGGACCAUUGAAACAAUGGCUUCCUAAAGAAGAUGAGGGGAAGGUAGAAGUGGCCUCUGACACUGAAGUAGAUGAAGAACAAACAACCAGAACCAAGAUCUGAUGAUGAUGAUACGGUCUCAAAUGAGGAAAAGCACACUUGGUGGACUCGGGGAAGAGACUGAGGACUUGCUAAAAACUUCCGGAAUAUUAUCAUUUUAUCAAAAUCACCUAAAAUGUAUAUCUCAUGGCACCAAACAAGUUGUUUACAGGACAA